GGUUUGGUCCUCGCCUUUCCUUAGCUGUCAGCAGAAUUACACAUGCAAGUUUCCGCACCCCAGUGAGAAUACCCUUAAAGUCAUAAAUUGACAAAAAGGAGUUGGCAUUAAGUACACCAAAUAACGGUAGCUGAUAACGCCUUGCUAAGCCACGCCCCCACGGGAUACAGCAGUGAUAAAAAUUAAGCUAUGAACGAAAGUUUGACUAAGUUAUGCUGAUUCAAGGGUUGGUCAAUUUCGUGCCAGCCACCGCGGUCAUACGAUUAACCCAAGUUAAUAGACUAACGGCGUAAAGAGUGUUAAGGAUUAAUAAACAAAAUAAAGCCAAGACUUAACUAAGAUGUAAAAACCUCCAGAUAUAGUAAAAAUAAACUACGAAAGUGGCUUUAACACAUUCUGAUUACACGAAAGCUAAGAUCCAAACUGGGAUUAGAUACCCCACUAUGCUUAGCCCUAAACUAAGAUGAUCAAUAAACAAGAUUGUCCGCCAGAGAACUACUAGCAACAGCUUAAAACUCAAAGGACUUGGCGGUGCUUUAUAUCCAUCUAGAGGAGCCUGUUCUGUAAUCGAUAAACCCCGAUAAACCUCACCAACCCUUGCUAAUUCAGCCUAUAUACCGCCAUCUUCAGCAAACCCUUAAAAGGAAUAAUAGUAAGCACAAGUACACACAUAAAAACGUUAGGUCAAGGUGUAGCUAAUGAGUUGGGAAGAAAUGGGCUACAUUUUCUAUGACAUAGAAUAAUUUAACGAAAACCUUCAUGAAACCUGAAGGCUAAAGGAGGAUUUAGUAGUAAAUUAAGAAUAGAGUGCUUAA
rnacentral:ncRNA from 1 species